rnacentral:rRNA from 1 species
UACGUAGGGUGCGAGCGUUGUCCGGAAUUACUGGGCGUAAAGAGCUCGUAGGUGGUUUGUCGCGUUGUCCGUGAAAACUCGCAGCUCAACUGCGAGCCUGCGGUCGAUACGGGCAGGCUAGAGUUCGGUAGGGGAGACUGGAAUUCCUGGUGUAGCGGUGAAAUGCGCAGAUAUCAGGAGGAACACCGAUGGCGAAGGCAGGUCUCUGGGCCGAUACUGACGCUGAGGAGCGAAAGCGUGGGGAGCGAACAGG